rnacentral:rRNA from 1 species
AUUGAACGCUGGCGGCAGGCCUAACACAUGCAAGUCGAGCGCGCGGCGCACGGGUGAGUAAUGUAUGGGGACUGCCCGUGAGAGGGGGGUAACUCCUGGGAAAGGUAGCUCAUACCGCAUACUAUCGGAUAACCCAUAUGGGAUUAGCUCGUAGGUGAGGUAAUGGCUCACCUAGGCGACGAUCCCUAGCUGGUCUGAGAGGAUGAUCAGCCACACUGGAACUGAGACACGGCCCAGACUCCUACGGAGGCAGCAGUGGGGAAUAUUGCACAAUGGGCGCAAGCCUGAUGCAGCCAUGCCGCGUGUAUGAAGAAGGCCCUAGGGUUGUAAAGUACUUUCAGUCGGGAGGCGUUACCGACAGAAGAAGCACCGGCUAACUCCGUGCCAGCAGCCGCGGUAAUAC